rnacentral:rRNA from 1 species
UACAGAGGGGGCAAGCGUUGUUCGGAAUUACUGGGCGUAAAGGGCGCGUAGGCGGCCUUCUAAGUCGAACGUGAAAUCCCCGGGCUCAACCCGGGAACUGCGUCCGAUACUGGAAGGCUUGAAUCCGGGAGAGGGAUGCGGAAUUCCAGGUGUAGCGGUGAAAUGCGUAGAUAUCUGGAGGAACACCGGUGGCGAAGGCGGCAUCCUGGACCGGCAUUGACGCUGAGGCACGAAAGCCUGGGGAGCGAACGGG